UUUUAUUUGAACGUUAUAAUGUGCUUCUUGCUAUUUUCAUAUUUUCCACAAAUAAAAAUAUCGAAAAGUCUACUUAGCCUUUAGAGGAGGAGGGGGUUGGCAAAAGUCUACUGAGUCUACUAGGGGGAGGGGGGUGCUGGGUUCAAAAAAUCUCAAAUUUCGGUCUACGUGGGUCCCUUAACUUCACACAUUUAGUUACAUGCAAAAAAUAACGCCCAUAUGAACAACGGAAAAUAAAACUCACAAGGACAGAAAAUGUUUCAUUAAACCCGCUAUUAGAAUGUAAAGAUCAGAAAUAAACUUCAAGCGUAAGAAUCGGACUGAGAUCCUUCAGCAUAAGAAACGCCAAAAAAGUUGUCAACCGCAAAACUCGACAAGGAUGAACCUCCAGUUUAAAAACCGGUUAAAAUUAAAUAAUUCGUAUGCAGGAGUAUCCGUAUAUCGCGACGUUCAAGAUAAAAAGUCAGCUAAAAAACUACUUUGUAAGAAUCGGUUAUAGUUUUCCGGUUUUUAUACUGAAGGUUAUUUAAUCCGGCUCUUAGAGGGGAGAAUCUCAGUUCGAUUUUUAUGCUUGAAGUUUAUAUCAGAAUUUUACAUUCUAAUACAUUUGAAGCGGGUUUUACGAAGCAUGUUCUGUCCUAGCGACUUUUAUUUUUGGUCGUUCAUAUCCACUAGACAACACGUUCCAUGGCGACACUAGUGAACUCUGGUGAUAUGGAAAAACUCACUUUCUUCUUGCAUCUGAACCGUACACCAAAAAUUACGUAUCUGAUUCACGGUCCGCGAUCAUCCAAGAACACAUGCGAAUAUGCGAAAGGCACACGGUCAUAAAAUAUAAUUUAUACACGCGAAGUUACAUACACGUUAUCACACGCGACAUAGUAACUCACACGCGAUCGAAAACGUUAAUGUACAAACGCCUAAACCCUUCACUAUGAUACACGCAAUCGCGAACUCCCUACGCCCGCACAUAUCUGAACCGUAAAAUGAAUAUCACAUUCAGAAUCACGGCCCACUGUAAUUGGCCUUAAGCAGUUUAGUGGGUAACAUUUCCCGUCUUGUUUUCAAUUGUAUUGUUGGGAGUCCAGUCGAGACUAUAGCUCUACUGCUCCAGUACUCUCGAGAAAAAUGUACUCUGGGUUUUAACUGGAGUGUGUGGCGAAGGGUUACUCCCCCACAUAUCGCACCGCCAUGUCCUAACCCCAACUCGUUAAACCCCCUCAGAUCCACCAGUCCCCUGAGACUACCACCCCAUCAGACCCCGAUAAUCUAGGUCAAUCCAAUCUGAUCCCUUAGAUAAACAGCCAAAACAGUGCACCGUAUUAUUCGCAAAAUCUAUUCAAAUUUAUUCACAGAUUCGUUUUUUUUUCAGGUGUUGAACUUGAUCAUGGCAUUCGGUAAUUUAUUUGUUUUCGUGACACUUAUUCAGGACUUUUUUUGGUAGUAUUGUUUACACCUGAUCUCCAUGAUAGUCCACCCUGGACACUAAUCCAGACACAUUAACCUGCCCAGAAACCAGUGUCAUGCAAACUCGUUCGAGUCCAAAUGCUUCCCGAGUUUCAAAGUUUUGCGAUCGUCUAAAUAUUUCAAAUUAAUGCACAAACCGUCGUCUUUUUAUAUCCUUGCAUUAUGGAAAUUGUACAAAACUCGGAAGGAUACGACCAGCACCACUAAUAAUCUAAUGGUUGCAUAAUUAUUUCGUGGUUAGUUUGUGUGGAAAUGAACCACAACGGCAGCCGAUACACGUCGUUCGCCUUUGCUAGUGGAGGGAUCGCUGGCAGCGGCGGUGCCCGAGGGGAACUGAGCAGUGGAAAUUUGAACAGAAAGCUGAGUAGUCCGAUGGCAGAGUCGACACAGUUGGACAGCAGCGGUAUCCGGGGGAAUCUUUACGGUAGUCCGGUAGGACAGGUUGGAGUUGGGAAAAGAAGCCUACCUCUCCGUUGCAAAAUAGCAGGACAAAUUUUAGAAGCAGCUGAAUGGCGUCCGGGUCCAGUGUGGAUCGAUUGAUUGAUCCUAAGAUUUACGCGGAUGUUCAGAGCCGAGGAUUAGUUAACCGGUUGGUAAAGUACCACGACAAAAUGCAAUCGCCGUUAAAUAAGAGUCAAUCGAUGACUAGCCUGUACUCGAAGCCGGGUCAAUUUCAUGUGUGGUGGAGGAGAAACAAUUCUUCGAUAGCUCCCAUUGGUUCGGAUUGCCCCGUCAGAGAAGUCCGUGUUUCAGGCUGACACAAGGUGGAACGGGAGGGAUCGUUGCUCAUUCCGGCGAAACCUCAUCUGAAGAUGAUCCGAACACAUAGACACGAGGAUGAGAUUGAUGCGGAAAAUAGUGUGAUUGCGCCUUCGACAGAACUGGAUGCCAGGCGAAGCUGGUACAAAGCAAGCUCGGGAAAUUACAUACACGGCUUCGCCCCCGUGUCGAGGGUCGGCGAAUCAGCAGCUGCAGACGAAGAAAUUAUGUAGUAAAGCCUCGAGCCUGGUGAUGAACACUCCGAAAGUGGAACGCGUAGCGCCCCGACCGGCACGAUUAAAUGUGGAUGUCUUUCUCGACGCCGGUAACAUUGAAUGCGACGGUUCCAUUUAGCAUGAUUGAAUCGAGCAAACCGGCAAAAUUAAGUAGAAUUGAUUCCGCUCCUUUGCCACAGAUUACGAGAAUUCUUCCGGAGUUUCAACCGCCUCUGAUGGAAUAUCCGCCACUAAAGCUAACGUUGUUUAACAAGAAAUAUAACGUCCUGGCG